UACUUCUUUAAUCUUGCCUAA
rnacentral:piRNA from 1 species